rnacentral:rRNA from 1 species
ACGAACGCUGGCGGCGUGCUUAACACAUGCAAGUCGAGCGGUAAGGCCCUUUCGGGGGUACACGAGCGGCGAACGGGUGAGUAACACGUGGGUGACCUGCCCUCAGCUCUGGGAUAAGCCUGGGAAACCGGGUCUAAUACCGGAUAUGACUCCAUGACGCAUGUUGUGGGGUGGAAAGCCUUGUGCGGCUGAGGAUGGGCCCGCGGCCUAUCAGCUUGUUGGUGGGGUGAUGGCCUACCAAGGCGACGACGGGUAGCCGGCCUGAGAGGGCGACCGGCCACACUGGGACUGAGACACGGCCCAGACUCCUACGGGAGGCAGCAGUGGGGAAUCUUGCGCAAUGGGCGAAAGCCUGACGCAGCGACGCCGCGUGAGGGAUGACGGCCUGGUGUAAC